CCUACGGGUGGCUGCAGUGGGGAAUAUUGGGCAAUGGGGGCAACCCUGACCCAGCGACGCCGCGUGAGGGAAGACGGCCUUCGGGUUGUAAACCUCUUUUGUACGGGAAGAAGGACGUGACGGUACCGUGCGAAUAAGUCCCGGCUAACUACGUGCCAGCAGCCGCGGUAAUACGUAGGGGACGAGCGUUGUCCGGAAUUACUGGGCGUAAAGGGCGCGCAGGCUGUAGAUCAAGUCAGCUGUGAAAUGUCUGGGCUUAACCCGGGCAUGCGGUUGAAACUGAUGUACUGGAGUGCUGUAGAGGCAAGUGGAAUUCCCAGUGUAGCGGUGAAAUGCGUAGAUAUUGGGAAGAACACCGGUGGCGAAGGCGACUUGCUGGGCAGCAACUGACGCUGAGGCGCGAAAGCCAGGGGAGCAAACGGGCUUAGAUACCCUGGUAGUC
rnacentral:rRNA from 1 species